GCGUCAGUGGUUUAGUGGUAAAAUCAACGCCUCCCACGCGUUGGUCCCGGGUUCGAUUCCCGGCUGACGCA